UAGUUAAAUAGUCUAAUAAGGAUUUUAAAUUGCAAAUUUAAAGGUAAUGAUAAAAGUUUUUAACU
rnacentral:tRNA from 1 species